AGAGUUUGAUCAUGGCUCAGAACGAACGCUGGCGGCGUGGUUCAGGCAUGCAAGUCGAACGAUCCCGCAAGGGAUAGUGGCAGAAGGGUUAGUAACACGUGGGCAAUCUACCCUCGACUCGGGGAUAACAUUCCGAAAGAAGUGCUAAUACCCGAUGAAAUUACUGGGUCAUAAGAUCCGGUAAUCAAAGGUGGCGCAAGCUGCCGAUUGAGGAGGAGCCCGCGGCCUAUCAGCUAGUUGGUGAGGUAACGGCUCACCAGGGCUUUUGACGGGUAGCUGGUCUAAGAGGACGAUCAGCAACAUUGGGACUGAGACACUGCCCAGACUCCUACGGGAGGCUGCAGUCGAGGAUCUUUAGCAAUGCCCGAAAGGGUGACUAUGCGACGCCGCGUGCAGGAUGAAGGCCUUCGGGUCGUAAACUGCUGUCAGGGGGGAAGAAUGCUCGGGUGUUAACAGCAUCAGAGUUUGACAUCACUCCCAAAGGAAGCCACGGCUAACUCUGUGCCAGCAGCCGCGGUAAGACAGAGGUGGCAAGCGUUGUUCGGAUUUAUUGGGUGUAAAGGGCAGGUAGGUGGCUGUAUAAGUCCGAUGUGAAAUCCCACGGCUCAACCGUGGAACUGCGUUGGAUACUGUAUGGCUUGAGUAUCGGAGAGGUAAGGGGAAUUCUCGGUGUAAGGGUGAAAUCUGUAGAUAUCGAGAGGAACACCAAUGGCGAAGGCACCUUACUGGCCGAUUACUGACACUGAGCUGCGAAAGCAAGGG
rnacentral:rRNA from 1 species